GAAAUGCGAUACUUGGUGUGAAUUGCAGAAUCCCGCGAACCAUCGAGUCUUCGAACGGAAGUUGCACCCAAAAGCCAUUAGGUUGAGGGCACGUCUGCCUGGGCGUCUCACGUUGCGUCGCCCGCGCCCCCUCAAAGGAAGGGUAGGGGGUGGAUGUUGGCCACCCACGCGCGGUCGGCCCAAAAGCGAGUCCCCCACGACGGACGACGCGUCGUGAUGAGUGGUGGUUGACAAACCGUUGCAUCGCCUCGCGCACGUCCAGGAUGUCUCGGUAGGCCUGUCAUGACCUUAUCGCGCCGCCGCCAAGGUGCUCAGAUCGCGGCCCCAGCUCAGGCGGGAUUACCCAUUGAGUUUAA
rnacentral:misc_RNA from 1 species